rnacentral:rRNA from 1 species
UGAGGAUAUUGCGCAGUGGGGGAAACCCUGACGCAGCGACGCCGCGUGGAGGAUGAAGGCCCUCGGGUCGUAAACUCCUUUCGCCAGGGACGAAAGGCUCUUCGGAGUUUGACGGUACCUGGAUAAGAAGCCCCGGCUAACUACGUGCCAGCAGCCGCGGUAAUACGUAGGGGGCAAGCGUUGCUCGGAAUCACUGGGCGUAGAGGGUCUGUAGGCGGUUUGGCAAGUUGGUUGUGAAAUCUCCCGGCUUAACUGGGAGCGUGCGAUCAAAACUGCUGAACUGGAGGGCCGGAGAGGCAGGUAGAAUUCCUGGUGUAGCGGUGAAAUGCGUAGAGAUCAGGAGGAAUACCGGUGGCGAAGGCGGCCUGCUGGACGGCACCUGACGCUGAAAGACGAAAGCUGGGGGAGCAAACAGGAUUAGAUACCCUGGUAGUCCCAGCCCUAAACGAUGGUCACUAGCUGUGCCUCACGUUGGUGGGGCGUGGCGACGCUAACGCAUUAAGUGACCCGCCUGGGGAGUACGGUCGCAAGGCUG